UAUCGUGAAUAACCUAUAAAAUACUAAUUGCAUUAAAUGCAAACGAAAAAAAAAUUCGAAAAAAUAGAAGAAAUAUCCUUCGUGGUUUAUUUUAUUAUUAUUACCAGAAUCAUUUAAAAUUUCAGUUAACCAGAUUUCACGACACGUUGUUCCACAACGAGUGACGUUAAUUGCCGCGCAGCUGGCAACCAUUUCCGGUCCAGUUAAUAAAAUCCAGAGGAACUAUUUAACAAUACAAUGCCAUGUUUCUCGUGGAGGAAGCUUAUCAGUGGUUCCCGUAGGCGUUUUAAUCAGUCCAUCUCAAUGAAACUACUUCAAAGUUUUCGAAACGGUGGGACGGAAAGUGGAAGUGGACACGUUUCAACAGGAACGUAGAAGAAGGUUUUAGUCGACGAGCAUAUUGACUUAGGACUAAAUUGGUCAGUCUAAACAACAGGAUGUGAAAGUUACGUGGAAACCAAUUUGCGCAUCUCAACUUCCUUUGUGAACCAAAACGUUUCAGUCCUUUAUAAGGUUGUUCCACACUGAAUAUGACGUAU